GUUUUGAACUUUUCAUUUCCAUCUCUGAAAUUUCCAUUUCCUUUAAAUCUUUUAUUUAGGUUUUUAAUUUUAAUUUUUAACAGUAGUAAGUUAAAAUUUUAAUUUCCAUUUCCAUUUCUUUUCAUUUCUUGUUUAUCGUACAACUUCUGGCUCUGUUCUUGUUUAAAUAUUCUUACUUCUCAGGAAAUUAUUUGCCCCCAUAUUUUCUGAUUCUUAUAAUGGAUCUUCUAUCGUGAAAUCCAUUUUUGGCAUGGCUGCAGAUUUAUGUCGAUUUGGAAUGAAUGUCUAAUAAGAUAUCAUGACAAACCAUCAAAUAUGGCAUCUUCGUCAUGCCAAAGUUAAUCAUCAAAAUCCUUCCAUAAACUCAUCUUCCUCCAUUGUUAAAAUGAUACGAAAUCUUUUGAAAAUAUGUGACCAAAAUUCAAAAAUUAGACGAUGGGGUUGAAAUUUCUAUUGGCAAUGUAACCUUUGUAAAUAUUUCAAAGAAAAGCUCUUAUACACGGGUUAGAGCUCAUUUAUUGAAGAUAAGUGGUCAAGGAAUUGGACCUUGUUUAAAAGUCACUUCUUCCAUUUUAAGUAAAAUGAAAAAAUUGGAAGAAGAAGUAAAGGCUCGCCUAGAAAGAAAAGGUCCAAAGAAUGUUCCCUUACCACCUCCGGUCAUAACAAUUGGUGGUGUUAAUGUCAGUAAUUCUCCUAUUACAAGCAAAUUGGACUUUGAGAAGAAGAGAAAGUAUAAUAGUAAUGAUACAAGUGCAAUUGAAAAAUCAUUCAACAAUACAUCACGAGAUCAAUUACAUUCACUAAUUGCCCGAAUAUUUUAUUCAGCUGGUUUGCCAUUUCAUUUAGCGAGAAAUCCACACUUUAAAGGAGCAUUUGCUUAUAUUGUAAAUCAUUUGUCAGGAUAUUUGUCUCCUAGAUAUAAUAUGUUGAUGAUGACUCUUCUUCAGAAAGAAAAGACAAAUAUUGUAUGGUUAUUGAUUCCAAUUAGAGAUAGAUGGCGUACUAAAAGGGUGAAUAUUAUGAGUGAUGGAUGGAGUGACUCACAAAGGAGGGCUUUGAUCAAUUUUAUGGCAAUUUCAGAAGGACAACCUAUGUUUCUAAAGUCAAUGGAUUGUUCUGGCGAGACUAAAGAUAAGUACUUCAUUACAAAUUUGAUUAAAGAAGUUAUUAACGAAAUUGGGCAUAUCACUGCUCCUAAUAGAAAAGCCGCAGGACAAAUUAUCGAAUCACAAUUUCCCACGAUUGUAUGGACACCAUGUGUAGUGCAUAUCUUGAACCUUGCUUUGAAGAAUAUAUGUGCUGCUAAGAAUGUUGAAAACAACCCACUUGUGUAUAAGGAGUGCAGUUGGUUCUCUGAUUGCUAGUGAAGUCAGGUUUGUGAAAUUUUUUAUUAUGAAUCAUUCGAUACGGCUUGCCAUGUUUAAUGAAUUUAUAUCUCUGAAAUUGUUUUCUGUGGUUGAAACAUGUUUUUCAUCUAUUAUCAUCAUGCUUAAAAGGUUUAAACUUAUUAAAGGUGGUUUACAAGCCAUGAUCAUUAGUGAUAAAUGCGCAAAUUAUAUGGAAGGUGAUGUGGUAAAGACAAAGCGUGUGAAGGAUUUGGUGCUUAACGACUUAUGGUGGGACAAAAUUGAUUACAUUCUUGCCUUCACUGCACCUAUCUAUGACAUGAUUAGAGCUUGUGAUACAGAUGCACUUUGUCUAUAUUUGGUGUAUGAUGGGAUGAAAUGAUUGUAAAGGUGAAGACAACUAUUUAUAAGCAUGAAGGAUUGAAACCAACUAAACCUAGUGACUUUUUCUCUUUUUAUGACGUGGUGUAUAAAAUUCUCAUUGAUCGUUGGACUAAAAACAAUACUCCACUUCAUUGUUUAGCACACUCCUUAAAUCCGAGGUACUAUAGUGAAGAAUGGCUUUUAGAGUUCCCUAAUCGAGUGACCUCAUACCAAGAUACAAACUAUCGAGAGAGAGGAUAAAGUGUUUUAAGAAAUAUUUUAGUGACCCUGGGGAUCGUGCAAAAGUGAACAUUUGCAAACUUUUCUACCAAAUCUAGAGAUUUCAAUGAUCUUGAUUCCAUAGCUCAAAGAUGUAUCAUUGAUCCUAUAAGUUGGUGGACCACUCAUGGGGUCUAAUGCCCCAAUGCCUCGACCAAUUGCAUUGAAAAUACUCAGGAAACCUUCUUCCUCUUUCUGUUGUGAGAGAAAUUGGAGCACGUACUCUUUUAUUAACUUUCUCAAAAGGAACAAGUUGACACCUCGACGUGCAAAAGAUGUGGUAUAUAUUCAAAACAAUCUACGCGUUUUGUCAAGGGGUACUUCAAAAUAUUCAAGAGGAGAGAUUAAAGCAUGGGACAUUGCUGGAGAUAGUUUUGAUUCUUUUGAAGAUGUUGGUAUGUUGGAAGUAGCCAAUUUAUCUUUAGGUGAACCAGAGUUAGAGACUGAUGUUUUGGGAGAUCAUGGUGGUGGUGAAAGUGAUAAUGAUGUUGAUGAUGAUGAUGUUAUGGAGAUUUAAGAUUUGGGUGUUUCAAGUUUCUCUAUUUUCUAGUCUUCAUGUUAAUUUUUAUGUUACUAAUUUGGUUUGUACUAAGAACUUUGUGGUGGGACAAAGUGAUAAUGUUUCAAGUUUCUCUAGUUUGUACUAAGAACUUUGUAAUAUGUAUUUCGUUGAUUAAUUUUUAUGCUAUUAAUUUGGUAUUUUAUGUU